rnacentral:lncRNA from 1 species
AUGUAUAAUUUCAGGAGAACAUUGUAAAUUCUGUUCUACAAUGAAAAUUUUAAAUCUAAAGUCUUUUUUUCUGGAAAAAAACACAACUACUGAAGUUUCCAUACUCCUAUAUACCUUGUAAAUUGUGUAUAAUAUUGCAAACUCAUUUUAAACUUAACAUGAGGAUUUUGAUAGAAAUUGAAUUCUUGUUUUUGUGUUGAAUUGAAAACAAACCAAAAACAAAUCUUUCAUAAACAUUUUUAUCAUAUAUACCCUAUCAGCUUAAUAUGUAGAAGCUAUUGUAUAAUUAUUGUAAUUUAUUAUGGAAUUCAGGAAAUGUUUGUAUAAGUAUAUGCAAUUUUAGCUAUCAUUGAUAAUUGUUUGUUUUAUGAGUAUUAAGAACAUUAUACAAUUAUGGCCCGUUGAAAAGGUGAUUAUCCAAAAUUGUCAACACGAGAAGGUUAUUUCAUUGAGGGCGCAGCCUGAAGUGAAAUAACUUUUAAGGGUUGACAAUUUUGGACAUUCACCUUUUCAAUGGGCCACUGUUGUUUUAUUAUACCACACUAACUGUGGAAGGGCAUUUCGAACACUUACUAUAGUCUAUAUUUUUAACUUAACACACAGACAGUGACUGAUAUUUGAAAAUACAUUUGUGUUCGAAUUUCUCGAAUUUACAACAAAAGUAGAAUCUUUUUGUAAAAUAUUGAUGGUCCUGAAAAGGACCGUUUUUUAAUGAGAUAUCAUCAGCUGCUGGCACUCUCAGCUCUAUUGAUGUCUAAUGCCUUAUUCCCUCGUUUCUUGAUGGGCUUCCAGUGUAAAAAGAACGCUGCCAUUUUGUUUAUUUACGUCUGUGACAUCAUUUUCACGGGAGGAAACUCAAGUACAAAUAAACAAACUCAAAAGGUUAUUCACCGGUUAAUAAUAGGGUUAUUCACCGCUGGUGUAAAUGUUUAGGGUUAUUCGUCCUUCCUUACAAUUUAAUGAAAAACAACUAAAUUAUUCCAUGUCACGUGAUAACGUUUCACCCAAUAGAAUUGUUUAAAAUAUAUGUAAGGUAUAAUAAUAGCUGUUGUUUUCAUUUGUAUAACAGCCAAUUGCAUUGAGUGUGUAGGUGAAGUUAAUAUCACUGGUUAGCUUGCUUGUUAGCUGAACUGUGAAGUCAUUAUUAGGUAAGGUAAACUACCCUCCUUUUAAAUGAGUACGGUUAACAAAUUUAUCUGUCUGUAGGACUAAACUACUUAGAAAGGAUGGUAGUUUACCUUACCUAAUCUACACACUCAAUGCAAAUGACUGUAGGUGUAUAACAGAUAUCACAUGAUUGGUUAAUACAAAAUUAUUGAAAUGAUACUUAUAACGUAAUUCUUCAGUAAAUCUUUGAAUUAAUUUAUUUUCAGCAAUUAAAUAAAUCAUAGACCAUCAGGUAUAUUUUAACAUCUGGUUAUAUAUUCGUAACAUCAGUUUUCUCAGGGUAUUUGUUCAAUAUUAUAAACAAAUAUCAAAUUCAAAUUAAAUUUGUUUUUUUCUCCAUACAUUUGAUAUUGUCAUAAUUUGAAGCAAUUGCACUUUUUCUAAAAUUGAGAAUUAGUCUUCAACAAGAGCUACCUAUGCUGUAACUUGUUUGAUUACUUUUUGAUUUUUGGAAUUUAUCUACAUAAAAGAUGUAUGGGUAAUGAUUUCACAUUGUAAUAAUCCAUUGAAACAUCUGUACCUUACUUAUAUUUUUUUCAAAUGGUUGGUGUUAUUCAAAACAACAAUUUUUCUAAUAUAUGACAAUAUGUCUUGAUUUAAGUAUUUUUGCAGUAAAAUGGAAAACCCUAGGCAACCAUAGUGUUUUAUAGAUUUCAUAUUGUAUAUUAAUAGCAUGAAACAUUCAUAUGCUAGCCUAUUUUCUUUGUUUCAAUUUUCAUUUGGAAAUAGUGAUGACAAAUGAGAAUUUUUAGUUUCUGUGUCUGUUUAAACUAAUUAAAGGCAUCUUACCCCUUAGUGCUCACAAGUGCUUUGAUUUUUUUUUUAAACUGAAGAGAAUAUGAUUAAGUGAUUGUGAAAAAAUAAAAGGUUAACACAUGAAUGGUUUAUGCUACAGGGUAACAAACUCAGGCAUAACAGGUAUUGAUAUACCAAGCUUUUGUGUGUAUAUUAAAGUAUAUAUUAGAUUUUUUUUAUGUAAACUGUGAUAUCUUUUGUUUAUAGUGCUGGCAUUAUUGUUUAUAGUUAUGUACUGUGGUUUAAGUAUUUUAGAAAUUUUGUCCAGUUCCUUUUGAGAUUUUUUUAAAGAAAAAUAGUAAGGUUGUCAUAAUUGCUAGUAUAUUUUCUUGCUACAUCUGUAAUGCUUUACUACUUUGGAAUUCUAAGAAAAUAAAUCAGGCGCGGAUCCAGAGGGGGGGUUCCGUGGGUUGGAACCCCCUCUUUUUUUGGACGAUCAAUGCAUUUGAAUGGGGACAUAUAAUUGGAACCCCCCCUUUUCAAAAUGGCUGGAUCCGCCCCUGUAAAUAGAAUGACAAAACUCAUAGGUGCUUGAGGACAGGAUCCUGUAAAAAGACCCAGAGAUAGCCACUCCCCCUUAUCAUAAAUCCUAGAUAUUUCAAUAUAUAUCAUGUUGAUAGUAAAAAUGCAUAUGGAGAGUGAAAUACGUUUAUUGGUAUAUUUAUAUUACAAAAUUACAGAAUUCUGUCCUCAAGCCCCUAUGACAAAACUAAGGUCAUAAUAAGUGAAAAUUGGACCAAAAUUUCAUGUGCUAUAUGUUUAUUAGACCAAAAAUACUUAAAGUGACAGGUUUCUGAGGAAGAAGUCAUCUUAUUUUUAUAUUGACUUAUGUCCUAAUGAAAAUAAUGUGAAUUUCAUGUCUACCUAUAGUUGUACUUAUAGUUGAAAUCAUUUUGGGUUAUUAGUAAACUGCAGUAUUAUGUUUUUUUUUGUAGUGGUUGUAUUGUUGGUGAUAUUUUUAUUACUUGCAAUUGUGAGGAAAACAUACCCGAUUAAGAUGAAUUGUGAUGUAAUGUAAAGGGGUCUGAAAAAUGUGAUUUUCAGAAAAGAUUGUUUUGUUGCCAAUUUUCUUUUUUCAGAAAAUAUAAAAGUAAACUAAGUGUCUAUUAGGUUUUUGAAGAUUAUGUAAAAAAAACAUCUUUUUUUUUAUACAAUCAUAUAAAUUUUACUCUUAAACCAUGACCUUUGGUAAGUUUUUUUUAUUGUGUGAUCAGAUUUGCAGUGUACAUCAAAAUCAAACCUUGACAAUAUUGGUUUUAUCAUUUGAAACUAGACAAGAGAGGUAAAUUCUUGAGGAAACUAUUUUGACAAAAUAAAAAAAAGGAAAAAAAUACCAAUUUUCUCAAUAAUAAACUAAGAUAAGAAUUUACAAUUUAUAAGUCAACCAAUUUUAUUGUCUUAUUUAUUAUUUACCUAAUAAACCUUCAAGUCAUUUUCCCCCCACUCAAUUGUUUUCUGGUCAAUUUUGCACAUUUUUAUGUAUGUAAUGUAAUAUAGUGCUUUUGCUCAUGCAAUAAAAAUUAAGAUACACAUAUAUAGUGUAUUUAACUAGCGUGUAUUCCUGAAAGUGAUAUUGAUGAUUUUUUUGUGUAUGUUUUGUAUAAUUAUUUAGACACAGCUACAAAAUAGUAGAUACUUAUGUAAAGUUUAUAUACAAAUGUUUACAUUUUUGUUCAUGUUACACAAAUACAUUAAAGUAAAUUUUCA